UGUAGGCAAGUUGGGGGUUUAUCUCGGCAUCUUUUCAGUUUGGCGGGCUGCUGUGGGGGCAGGUGAGAACCCAGUAUAAAAGAACCCUGGACAGAAGUGAGAGGAGGGCUGGAGAAGGAAGCAACUGGGAGCUGGAGAAUAGAGCAGCCUGGGAGGAGAGAUGGAGGAACCUGGGACAAGUCAGGACUACAGAGUAGAGGAAGCCACGAUGAAGCUGACCUCUAUUCCCCUGCCUUUUUGAAACGGCGAAAGGGCGACCAUCCAUUGAGCGGCACUUGAUUUCUCCUCCCUGGCUCUCUGCUGCUGGAUCUUUUAGCUGCCACAUUCUGUGCUUUCUGUAGUACAGCAGCGCUUCCAGCAUGAACUUUCUGCAGAUCUGCGGUGCCUUGCUCAUCGGUUCCAGCCGCGGUGCAAUUACCAGCAUCCCUGAGGCGCCUUCUGCAUUCGCUAAUUAUCCCAGAUCUAUGGGUACAGGACGGGAAGGUCCGGACAUUAAAAGCCGGCUCUGGAUGCUGCUGCUGCCCUUCGCCUCUUGAGCCGGUUGAUCUCUUACUGCUGCCCCUGCGCACCGGCACCGUAUCUUCCUGGCCCAUUCUCCCCUCUUGCUGGCUGCCCGGGAACAACCGGCGUAUUGCUUUGUUUGAAUUCCAUUUCCGACGCAUUCCAUUUCCCUGCGCACCGGCACCGUGUCUUCCACCGUGUGUAUAAUAUCUGUGCACAACUCAAUGCGUGUUCCGGUGCGCAGGGAAAUGGAAUGCGUCGGAAAUGGAAUUCAAACAAAGCAAUUCGCCGGCAGUUGUUCCCGGGCAGCCAGCCCGGGAACAGAGAAAGAUGAGUCAUAAAAAGUACAAAUAGCUAUACAUUUGUAGCCUUUCAGAGCAUUUGUUUUUAUAUGGAGUCAGUGAAAGCUGGAAAGAUUCAAACGAAAAAGGCAAAUAAUUCUAGAACGUACAACAUACUAAAAGUUAAUAUAGAGGGGAACCACCCCUUUAAUAAACAAUGGGAAAAUUUGCUUGUGGGCAAUAACCCAUUGCAACCAAUCAAAUUGCUGCAUUUAUUAUUCUUCCUGCAGUUGGCUGCUAAUUAUGGGUUGUUAUGGGUUACUGCCCACUGUAAAAAUAAAUGUACAGUAACAUGAAGCCUUAAAUCCUCUCGAUUUCUGUAAGGUGACAUAAAAAAAUCCUAAAUAGCCCUAUAACACAUAGAACAAAUAAAAACAAUUGCCUUGUAUGGUAUAUAUAUAUAUGUAUGUGUGUGUGUGUGUGUGUGUGUCUACAGAAUUAUGGGGCAGGUAGGGGUCAGGAUCAGAGAGAGAGAGAAGUGCUGUCAAGAUCAGGUCAAGAGCAGGUAACAAAGAGGAAUAUUUGAUAUCAGACACAGGUCAGGGCAGGCAGCAAACAGUAAAAUCCACAUAACAGGUUCAGGUCCUGGCAGGCAGCAGAGAAAAAUGCUUUGAUCAAAAACCAGGAAUUUGCACUAAACAAAACACGUCCGAGAAUAUAAUGAUCUCGUCUUCAAAAUCUCUUCCACUGCAAUUACAUUAAGACUAGUGCAUCAGAACAUGUGGAUGUUGGAAUGCUAUAAGACCUUAUUAUCCCAAUGGAAUGGCACAAUUAUGCAAAUCACUGGAACAUGCACCAAAGGAGAAUGUACCAGUGCAUUGGCAUGACAUUCUCUUUCCAGUAUGAUCAGCAUAUGACUUAGAUCCAUGCAUGGUAAGUCUUAACCGGAUUAUGAACCCCACCUAAAUAUAACCAGCCUUAAUCUAAAAGGAAAAUCAGCAAAGUCAACAAACCUGAGUAGAACAGAUAAAUCAUCUAAGCAUCAAGCUCUUACUACUGGAAGAAUUCAAUGUUAUUCAAUAUUGCAAAAAAAAAGGCUGAAUGGAAAAUCAUAAAUGCUCCUGUAUUAAUUGCUUUGCAUUUUCAGCAACCUGCCGGGUUCAUGGGAUUAUAAAACUGUGCACUUGUGCAUGUGGCCCUCCAAAAGAUUUUUAUGGCCUUCAUGUUCCAAGGACUCCAUUGACAUACAGGACAUAUUUGACAGCACUAAAAGAUAUGGCAUUCAAGGCAGACAUUUAUAAAAAGAGAUUUCACCUUGGUCCAUGUGGGGUCCAGAUGGGGUGUGAGCAGGAAGACUGGAGCAGGACAAGGACAGGAUUGGUGAAAAGGAAAUGACAGCCUGUCAGCUGCUCUCCUGGCCUGGUUUUUAGGGAGAGUAACCAGGAGGACCACUGAUUAGUUUGAGGUGAGCCAACUGUGCAGAUAUGAGGUGGGUCUGGGAACUGAAGAAAAGAACUGAUUUAGCACAUUUGCCUUUUUGGUAUCUGUUACAACCAAGCCAGCACCAUUAUUUAAAGGAGCCUUACUCUCAACCAGCAUCUUUUUACUAUUAAUAUACUUUUUGGGGUUAGUCUUAGCCUAUGCCGCAAUGCACUCCUCGUUUUCUACCUUCCGGUUUGGGGUUUUACAACAUUUAUUAUGGUGUUUAUAUUCAUUAAAUGGAACUUCUGUCCCCACA